rnacentral:lncRNA from 1 species
CGGGCCAACGUUGCCUAUACCCGUCUCACUUGAAAUGUGCUCGCUCUUAAAACCAUUAGCAGUCGCAACUUUUACGUGUUUCCACUGCAUUUUAUAUAGAGAAAUGGGACGCGCAUUACCAACCAAGUGUUUUGUAGCGUGCGGGGAGGAAGCGACAGCCAUAUUUAUCACGGAAAGAUGGGAACAAAUGCUGGAUCUUCAUCGCCAUUCAUCGGAAGAUCAUUUUGUGCCCACGUUGUGCAAGACCGUCUUCCGAGGCUAGAACACCUGUGUGGCCGAUUGGAUUACGGGCUUAAGGCAAGUUUCUGCUACAAAUGUCAAGAGACACACUUCGGGGAAAAAACAAAAAAACAAAAACAAACAGGAAGCAAGCUGUGGGAUCAAGUGUACGCUCUCUGCGACCCCGGAUGCUCGGGGAUUGGUGCCCGGAAAAGGUUUCGGGAAUCACGUGGCUUCCAAAGCUGCUCUCGAGUGCAGGGGCUAUACUCCACGGCCAUCGCUCGUCGGCACAAAAGGUAGCGAAGUCCUUCAGGAUAACUGGCUCGUGUGAACGCCUUUGAGGAAGCACCGAAGUCGUGCACACACGCGA